rnacentral:rRNA from 1 species
GUUAGGAAUAUUGGACAAUGGGCGCAAGCCUGAUCCAGCCAUGCCGCGUGAGUGAUGAAGGCCUUCGGGUUGUAAAGCUCUUUAGUCCACGAAUAUAAUGACUGUAGUGGAAGAAUAAGCCCCGGCUAACUUCGUGCCAGCAGCCGCGGUAAUACGAAGGGGGCGAGCGUUAUUCGGAAUCACUGGGCGUAAAGCGUGCGUAGGCUGUUUUGUAAGUCAGCAGUGAAAGCCCAGGGCUUAACCCUGGAAUUGCUUUUGAAACUACAAGACUCGAAUUCGGGAGAGGAUAGCGGAAUUGUCAGUGUAGCAGUGAAAUGCGUAGAUAUUGACAGGAACACCAGUGGCGCAAGCGGCUAUCUGGACCGAUAUUGACGCUGAGGCACGAAAGCGUGGGGAGCAAACAGGAUUAGAUACCCGGGUAGUCC